rnacentral:rRNA from 1 species
CGAUUAAUUCGCAUAAAAUUCUAAAUAGGUUGUAUAUAAUGACAUAAUCUAUUUAUAAGUCUUGACCAAACUACGUGCCAGCAGUCGCGGUAAUACGUAGAAGGCUAGUGUUAGUUAUCUUUAUUGGGUUUAAAGGGUAUGUAGACGGUAAAUUAAACUCUAAAAGAGUACUUUUUUACUAGAGUUAUAUGUGAGAAGGAAGAAUUCCUGGAGUAGAGAUAAAAUUUGUUGAUACCAGGAGGACUGUGAACGGCGAAGGCGUCCUUCUAUGUAAUAACUGACGUUGAGAGACGAAGGCUUGGGUAGCAAACAGGAUUAGAUACCCUAAUAGUCCAAGCAGACAAUGAUGAAUGUCAUACAUUCGAAAAAUUUAAUGUAUAAACGAAAGUGUAAGCAUUCCACCUCAAGAGUACUAUGGCAACAUAUAAACUGAAAUCAUUAGA